CCCGGCGGGCGUUGCAGGGGCUCGCCCAGCCCGCCGUGCCCCGACGGCGGCCGGAGCGGAGCGGGGCGGGAGUUACCGAGGCAGCAGCAGAGGUACCCGUGUCCCUCAAGAACACUUUGCCCUCGCUAUUUGCAGUGCCAGAGUGGAAACACUGCGGUCUGCCUGUCCCAGCAAACCCUGCCGAGGUGCAGUGCAGCAGGGCAGCAUUGAAACCUGCAGGAAACCCUUCAUUACCUGGAGACCCGCUUGUGACCAGUGUGGUGAGUUGUGUGCUCUGAGUUAAAACAGAGAUGCUCGAUUUCAUUAUGGCAAAGUCAAUCUAAAUACAAUCGUCUGAUUACAGCCUAGUAACUUACAAAGAAGUCUCACACUUCACAGAUGAUUUUCUAAAGUGCUAAAAUUCAGAAAAAGCUAAACCGCAAAUUACGUGCAUACCUGCAUUCAGGUGUCUUUGUUAGAUUAUAUCAAAGUUAUAAUUUGAUUUCAUCAUUUUCACAAUAGAAGCUAUUAUAUGGCAAAUGCAUGUUGCACAUUGCCCUGGAGCACAGCUGGUUUGCAUUAGAGGAGUAUCUCUGAAAUCUCAUCUGUGCCAGCAAUUCCCACCCAAGCCCCCCACCGCAUAUAGGAAUGCUACUUUAGCUCUCCUAAACACAGAGUGAUAACCAUGGAGGGUUUAUCUCCAUUGGAUCAAAACAAUGCUGGCUUUUAGAUAAGGAUUGUUUUGCCGUGCUGCUGCCAUGAGGUGCUGCUGCCAUAAGGACGGAUAAAU